rnacentral:rRNA from 1 species
CCUACGGGAGGCAGCAGUGAGGAAUAUUGGUCAAUGGACGAAGGGCUGAACCAGCCAAGUAGCGUGAGGGAUGACGGUCCUAUGGAUUGUAAACCUCUUUUGUCAGGGAGUAAAGGGAGCCACGUGUGGCGUUUUGCGAGUACCUGAAGAAAAAGAAUCGGCUAACUACGUGCCAGCAGCCGCGGUAAUACGGGGGAUGCGAGCUUUAUCCGGAUUUAUUGGGUUUAAAGGGUGCGCAGGCGGAUUGUUAAGUCAGCGGUAAAAUUUUGGGGCUAAACCCCGUCGUGCCGUUGAAUAUGGCGUUCUUGAGUGAGCUAGAAGUAUGCGGAAUUCGUGGUGUAGCGGUGAAAUGCAUAGAUAUCACGCAGAACUCCGAUUGCGAAGGCAGCAUACCGGCGCUCAACUGACGCUCAUGCACGAAAGCGUGGGUAUCGAACAGGAUUAGAUACCCCUGUAGUC